AGUGAACGCUGGCGGCGUGCUUAACACAUGCAAGUCGAACGAGAACGGAUUAUAGCUUGCUAUAAUUGUCAGCUAAGUGGCGCAAGGGUGAGUAAUGUAUAGGUAAUAUGCCUCUUACUAAGGGAUAACAAAUGGAAACGUUUGCUAAUACCUUGUACUCCUUAUUAAUAGAAGUUAAUAAGGGAAAGAUUUAUUGGUACGUGAUUAGCCUGUAUUGUAUCAGUUAGUUGGUGGGGUAAUGGCUUACUAAGACUAUGACACAUAACUGGUUUGAGAGGAUGAUCAGUCACACUAGAACUGAGACACGGUCCAGACUCCUACGAGAGGCAGCAGUGGGGAAUAUUGCACAAUGGACGAAAGUCUGAUGCAGCAACGCCGCGUGGAAGAUGACACAUUUCGGUGCGUAAACACCUUUAUAUGAGAAGAUGAUGACGGUAUUAUAUGAAUAAGCACCGGCUAACUCCGUGCCAGCCGCCGCAGUAA
rnacentral:rRNA from 1 species